GACGAACGCUGGCGGCGUGCUUAACACAUGCAAGUCGAACGGAAAGGCCUCUUUCGGGGGGUACUCGAGUGGCGAACGGGUGAGUAACACGUGAGUAACCUGCCCUUGACUUUGUGAUAACUUCAGGGAACUGGGGCUAAUACCUGAUAGCAGCUCCUGCUGCAUGGUGGGGGUUGGAAAGUUUCGGCGGUUGGGGAUGGAUUCGCGGCUUAUCAGCUUGUUGGUGGGGUAGUGGCUUACCAAGGCUUUUACGGGUAGCCGGCCUGAGAGGGUGACCGGCCGCAUUGAGACUGAGAUAAGGCCCCGACUGCUAAGGGAGGAAGAAGUGGGGAAUACUGAACCAUGGGUGCAAGCCUGAUGCAGAAAGGCCGCGUGCGGGAUGACGGUUUUCGGGUUGACAAACGCGUUCGCUCAUGACGAAGCGUUGUGUGACGGUAGUGGGUAAAGAAGCACCGGCUAACUACGUG
rnacentral:rRNA from 1 species